AGCGUGCCAGUUUUUUUCCGGGCGCAGGUUAUCUCAUAACUAACUUGAAAAACUGUAAUACAAUUUUAAAUAAUCUACAGUUUAGGUUGCUUAGCGAAGGUUUUAAAAAAAGUUUAUAUAGAAAACGCUUUUCUUCUAAAGGAGAGAAGCGCAAUCAAAAAUUACACAAUUAUUCUAAGCGACUGUAUUCUAAGGCCUUUAAUGAACAACUUAACUUUUGUGGGCGAGAUUUAAAACAUCUUUUUACUUCCUAGUC